rnacentral:lncRNA from 1 species
AGAUGAUCUUUGCUUUGGCAAGCCUGGAAGCAACGUGCAAGGUAAAGAAUGAAGAAGAGCAGGAAGAGAAAAGCUGGCACAUUAAACUGCCCUUGUAUUUCUUCAGAUUUCUACGCUGCAGUGUCUAGGUGACUGCAGAUACAAUAAUCACUUUGCUCACCACCACCAUGGAACCACCCUUGGCAAGGCCACGGCAGCCAUCAAACAGCACGUUGGGAGUUACUGCUCCAAUUGCAAAGAUCACGAGGGCACGUUUGAAGCAGGUAAAGCAUACUUUAAUUGGGUAGCUCUGUGUUUGCCAUUAUUGCUGGGACCCAUUCAAAUUCUCUCAUGACGUUUCCCUACUCUGGAGGGGGAAGGUGUUUUAGUUUGUUUGUUCUGAGGCUUUGGUUAUUGAGCAGUGGACAGGUGAGCUAAACUUU